GGAGGCAGCGAGAACUAUAAAGGAUGUUUCUCCCCAUGAGUUAGUGAAUGCCUACAUUGCCCAUCUCAAACACUUUGACAAGUUUUGCUUUUAGAAACUUUUAAAAGAAAUAGAGGCUUGCUUGUAUAUUUGAAUGCUUUUUGUUUUUUUAACUAUUUUUAGAGUUUUAGGCCUAGUGUGAAAAAUAGGGUAAGAGGUGAGGGAGAGAGUAAGAGGAGCAGCGACCGGCGAGAGAGAUGGCAUGAGCGUUAUGGGGAGCAAGAGUGAUGGAGAUAGUGAAGAAGCACAAUAGUGGUCACGUUUGGAAGAUAUUUAACCUCACUUCCACUCGCAAAGCCAACGACAAGAAGUGUCUCCAUCGCGUUUGGCAAGUCAUUUUAUCUAUACUUUGCUUCAUUUCAUCUAUCUUUUCUAAUUAUUUCCCCUUUUGGGUAUUCAAUAUUUUCCAUAAAAAUUGGUUCUUUAGAGUAAUUGAAAUCAUGAAUAAAGAAAGAAGAAUUCAGCAGCAAUCACCGGUUGCAGCUGAAAUCCCUCUUUUUCCCCAAGAAAUCAUGGUGGAAAUCUUUUUAAGAUUACUCGUCAAAUUGCUUUGCCAAUUCAGAUGUGUCUCAAAACAAUGGCUUUCUUUUAUAUCAGAUCUCCUUUUAGCCAAAUCCCACCUCAAAAAACCAUUAAGAAUGAUAGUUUUUAUUCUCAGAGGAAAAGAGUAACCAUUUCCUCAAACAAUUUGUACUCUUUUGAAUAUGAAUCAAUCGGUAGAAAUUGUAGUUUUGAUGAGAAUUUGGUAGCUUUAGAGCUUGAUUAUCCUUUGAAAGACGGGCCAAAUGGAUUAGCUGAGUUAUUAGAUUAUGGUAGAGAUGGUUUUAUGUAAUGUGAAAGAAGUGAAGAAGGUAAUGAUGAAUUUCCAGUAAUGGUGAAGUUAAAUUUUCCAUUUUGUGUGAACCAAAAGAAUGGCUGAUAUCUUAGGUUCUUGUAAUGGUUUGGUUUGGUUUGUAUUUCCCCAGAUGAAGAUACCCUUUUUUUUUGUUUAAUCCUUCCAUUACAGAAUCCAAGAGAAUCCUAGACCCACCUUCGAAUUUUGUUCCGAAUGAUUGGAGUGUUUACGGUUUCGGUUUUAAUUUUGUUAAGGAUGAUUAUAAGGUAGUGAAAGUAGGUUGUGGAACUGUUUGUGUUUACUAAUUGAGAACUUAUUCUUGGAGGAUUGUUUGUAGUUUAAAAACAUUAUUUAAAUUUCUCACACUAGGUUGUCUACUUACCAUGAAUUUAUAGUCAUGGUGGCACUUGGAUAAGAGAAUCAUCAUAUAUCGUCUUUUCUUUUUCAAAGAAUUAAAUGGUAACAAUAUACAUUAUUUGAAUGAUAAAAUGUUUGAUUUACAUAUUUAUGUGAAACUCUUUGCAUAUUUUUAGCUACUAUUUGGUGUUCUUUUGUUGUUCUUUUGCUUUUUUGCUCUACAGUUAGCUUUAUGAAAAAUUAGAAAAGUUACAAAAAAAAAAUUGAGGCCUUAAUUAGGUUCUUAUUUUGUUUUUGUGGAACAAAUUGAUAGACCAGUCUGAACAAUGGGGUUGAACCAAUUGAAUCAGAAAUUAUGUUCAUUCAAUAAUAAUAGUUCUUUCUCUUUUUAUUUGUUCUUUAAAUUUCUUAAAUGAAAGUGGAAAUUUUUGCAAACGCACUCUAUGAAAGAUGAAUUUGUUUUGAGGUAAUUUCUUCGCUUUCUAUAUAUAAUUCAUCUAUAUGAAAUCUAAUGUAUAUGUUUUUUUGUGAUUGAUGAAUGAGAAGAUGGUGAUGAGUUUAAUUUUUUUAAUUCAUCUAUAUGAAAUCUUAUGUAUAUGUUGCUUCCUGCUAGUUUAUCUUUUGAACAUGUUUUGGUCUUUUGGUAAUUGGAUUUAGUGAAGAGAAUAGUUAUGUAACAGACCAUUUUCCAGUGGUUUUGGGACCAUAAUUUCGAAGUGUCGGUUUGUAAAUAUUCAUUAUUUAAUAUUUACGAGGUCACUAGUGUCGUACUAAAAUUUGAAUAAGAAAUUUUGAUGUUUAGCUACUUAAUUAAAGAAAAAAGACUAAAUUGUAAAAGUACAAAAAUUUAAUUAGUACUAGUUUAAUUGGUCAAAUGGAUGGAAAAGCAUUAUGGUAGGGAAUUGCAAUUAAGCCAUUUUUCUAGUUAGUGGUUGAUUAUAAGCCAUUUUCAUUGAUUUUAUGUUUAAAUUUUAUAUUAUAAUUAAAUAAAAAGUCAUUUUGAUAAUACAAUAAAGUGAGAAAGGUUCCAUCUUCUUCUUGGUUUAUUGUUAAAAUCGAAAACCCCAUUUUAAACAUUAGAGCUUUGAUUUUGCUAGUCAUGGUGCAUGUAGGUAUUUUCUUGGUUUAUUUAUCAUGAAUUUUAAGUUUUGAGCUAAUUGUAAUGGAAUCUAGCUAUUUGGGGGUUAAAUUUUGAAAUUAUCGAAGCAUAAAAAUUAUGUCAUUGAAAUUUUUGAAGCUUUUUAGUUGUAUUUGGUUUGGGUUGAAGCUUGGUGUUGAUUUUUAUUGAGUUUACAAAGUAAUUUUUAAUAAAUUGUAAAUUUAAGGAGUUAAUCGUAACUAUGUAUAAUUAGCCUGGUUUCUUUAUAUUUCAUAUCAAGUAAGUAUCUAAACAAAUACUAACACACCUAUUACAUGCCAUAUAACCCAAAAGUAAACAUUCAAAAACUACCAAUAAUAUCUGGAUAGUGUGAUUUCUUUGAGUUGAUUAUCUUCGAUGUGUCGUAACUAAUGAUUAUCUUCGAUGUGUCGUAUCUUUACUUAAAGAUGAAGCUUACAAUUUGCGGUCAAUGUUAAUAGCGGUACUACUGAGAGGUAACAUCAAUUGGGAAUUCUUUAAAACAAAUUUUAAAAAUAAGUAUGUUAGCAAAAGAUACCUGAUUCGAAAAAAAAAGAAUUUUUUGAAUUGAAACAAGGUAACAAGUCGAUAGCUGAGUAUGAAAGAGAGUUUGUACAUCUCAACAAGUAUGCUUUUAAAAUCGUGUUGAAUGAGGAAGAAAUGUGCAUUUGUUUUGAAGAUGGAUUAAAUGACGAAAUUAAAAUGUUGAUUGCAGGGAUAGAAAUACAUGAGUUCAUUGUUUUGUCUGAUCGUGAUCAAAAGAUGGAGGAAGUUUAUAAUCUAAAGAGAAAGAGAGAUAAAAAGGCUCAAAAUUUUGGAAAAAAGAAGCUUUUCUAAGUCUUUUUCUACACCACCGUCAAAGAAAUUAAAUGAAGAUUUUAAUCAUGUCACUUCACCAUUUGGGUUCUUGGGUAAAAAUAUAUCAA
rnacentral:lncRNA from 1 species